rnacentral:rRNA from 1 species
AGCGAACGCUGGCGGCAGGCUUAACACAUGCAAGUCGAACGCAUCCUUCGGGGUGAGUGGCAGACGGGUGAGUAACACGUGGGAACGUACCCUUCGAUCUGGGAUAACUUCGGGAGACUGGAGCUAAUACCGGAUACGCCCUUUUGGGGAAAGGUUUACUGUCGAAGGAUCGGCCCGCGUCUGAUUAGCUGGUUGGUGGGGUAACGGCCUACCAAGGCGACGAUCAGUAGCUGGUCUGAGAGGAUGAUCAGCCACACUGGGACUGAGACACGGCCCAGACUCCUACGGGAGGCAGCAGUGGGGAAUAUUGGACAAUGGGCGCAAGCCUGAUCCAGCCAUGCCGCGUGAGUGAUGAAGGCCUUAGGGUUGUAAAGCUCUUUUGUCCGGGACGAUAAUGACGGUACCGGAAGAAUAAGCCCCGGCUAACUUCGUG